UGGGUGACCUGCGGAAGGAUCAUUGUCGAA
rnacentral:rRNA from 1 species